rnacentral:misc_RNA from 1 species
AACCCUCUGAAACUUCCUAGCAAAUUUGAUAGCAGCUUCAUUUGCUUCAGUUCCAGAGUUUGUGAACAAGACACGAUCAGCAAAAGAACAAGCCACCAGACGUUUUGCAAGCUCUACCUGAGGGAUUGAAUAGUAGACGUUACUAACAUGCGUAAGCAAAUUGGCUUGCUCUGUGACCGCCCGAACCCAAUCGGGAUCCCCGUGGCCGAGGGCGUUAACUGCAAUACCGGACGUGCAGUCCAAAUAUUCUCUUCCUUCAGGAUCAUACAAUUUACAACCUUUGCCAUGGGCGAGCACCAAAGGGUUCCUUACAUAAGUCCCCACCAGGACCUUCGCCUCCAUCUCCAUCACCUCCUUACUCUUCAAAUUCAGCUUCACAGAAUCCG